UGGCGACCGGCGCACGGGUGAGUAACACGUAUCCAACCUGCCGAUGACUCGGGGAUAGCCUUUCGAAAGAAAGAUUAAUACCCGAUGGCAUAGUUCUUCCGCAUGGUGGAACUAUUAAAGAAUUUCGGUCAUCGAUGGGGAUGCGUUCCAUUAGGUUGUUGGCGGGGUAACGGCCCACCAAGCCUUCGAUGGAUAGGGGUUCUGAGAGGAAGGUCCCCCACACUGGUACUGAGACACGGACCAGACUCCUACGGGAGGCAGCAUG
rnacentral:rRNA from 1 species